rnacentral:rRNA from 1 species
AUUGAACGCUGGCGGCAGGCCUAACACAUGCAAGUCGAGCGAGCGGCGGACGGGUGAGUAAUGUAUGGGGACUGCCAUAGAGAGGGGUAUAACUACUGGAAACUGUGGCUAAUACCGCAUACUAUCGGAUAACCCAUAUGGGAUUAGCUAGUAGGUGGGGGAAAGGCUCACCUAGGCGACGCUCUCUAGCUGGUCUUAGAGGAUGAUCAGCCACACUGUGACGGAGACACGGCCCAGACUCCUACGGAGGCAGCAGUGGGGAAUAUUGCACAAUGGGCGCAAGCCUGAUGCAGCCAUGCCGCGUGUAUGAAGAAGGCCUUAGGGUUGUAAAGUACUUUCAGCGGGGAGGCGUUACCCGCAGAAGAAGCACCGGCUAACUCCGUGCCAGCAGCCGCGGUAAUUC